rnacentral:lncRNA from 10 species
AGCAGGAAUAAAGUGCGAGAAGAUGUGCCGGCCACGCCGCACUCCCCGGGGCCGUUCUUCCUUGCGCCAGCCGGGCCUUCCAGAAUCCUUGUCACUCCCAGUGGCAGCUGAAGGCUGAAGGCCAGCAUGGACUAGCUUUAAGACAGGGCUCUGUGUGCACCCCACCCUCAUGGCAGCCCGGCCAAGAACAGGAGAUGAUUCUUGACUAAAGCCUCCAAAAUGAGACCCCCGUUUUUGUUCCUCCCUGGGGUUCCCUGGGGACAGGGGUUCCCUGGGUCCAGUGAUGAAG